CAAAAACCAGCUUCAACAUCGCAAACUUCAACAACCAUCAACACAACCAGCGAAGACCCGAACCUAUCAACCUGUUUUCAGCCAAAAAACCCAAAUACAUCCUUUCCCCUUCAAUUUAUGCGGAUUGUGUGACCUCUAUGUGAGUUCGUACAUCGAAUAACCUCGAAUCUUCUAGAAACGCACCUACGUGUCUUCUACAAUGGUUCAAUCCCACAUUUCUCGGAUAAGAUUAUACGAUUUCGUAUAAUAGUUGGUAGAUUUUCAUUGGUUCUUGAAGGGAACUAGGGGAGGGUUCGAAAAUUGGGGGAUUUUUUUUGGGAGGUCACUUUUUUUUAGGGGAAAAAUUUUAGUUGAGGAAAAGGCGAAAAAUUUGAUAGAGAUUUUGGGGUUCAAAAAUUCCUUAGAAGUUUUGAGGGAUUUUUCGCUGAGGUUCGAAAAUUUUUUGAGGGUGUUUCGGAUUCAAGUAGCUGAGGGGUUAGGAACUUUUCUGUCGAUUAAUUGGAGGCUUUUGAGUUGAUAUCAAUGAUUUCUGGUGGUGUUGGAAUCCGACAACUAGCUCGUCGUCCUGUUUUGCUGCCCCAAAAGAGGUGAAUAUACUCUUAUUCUCUCAAUUUCAUCACUUUCUGCUUCAUACCCAUUUUUUUCAGUAGAACUAGUUAAUAUUUUAUCGGCAAUUAUGAAUGAGGAUGGUUUUGUCUGCUAUAGAUGGCCGUGAUGGCCUUAGGGGUUGUUUUGUGAUUAUUGUUAUGCGAUUUCGCUAAAGUAGUGCUAAGGUCAUAAUUUUCAAGGCGAUUAUGUCAAAUGUACUACCUUUUAAUUGAUAUUGCUGCCUUUUAAUUGAUGUUGCUGGUUAUCUAGGAGUUUAUGACAUGAAUCGGUAUAUACAUCUUCAAGAUUUCACCUUUUGUUUCUAGUUUCCCCUUUAGAGUUAGUAUUUUUUGUCGCAUUAGGAUAACAAUUGUCAUAAUCGAUUGAUCCGUGAUUUAGCUUCAUCUUUCUCCUUUCUGUUUUAUAAUUUGUUUGUUUGAAAAUUGAUAUCAUUAGUCAAUACCUACUCUCCUUAUCUCGCGUUGCUACUUGUAAUUUGUCUUGCUGUUCUCGGCUAAAUUCAUGCCUCAGUGUAUACUUCGCUAUUUCAUCUUGAUAUUGCCUCUCUGGGUCACUGUUUAGUCUUUGUGGUGCCAUUAGUACGGUUAUAUCUUCAGUUCUUUUAGCUCUUCAAAAGCCAAAAGAAUGGGGAGGUAUCUGAGGGGAACCAGAAUUCCCAUAGUCCCUCGAGGACCUUCUUGACUGGCAAAACUCAUUUUAGGUCUAUUGGAAAGUGGAUGAGAAUAGGAAUAGUAUGCCAUUUCAAUUGCACUUUAGUUCGAAUGGUUAUAAGAGCUUGUUCCUAUUUAAGGUCUUUGGGCAUACAAGUUGAAAGAUGACAAAGAUGCCUUUAUUUCAUAAGUUUCGACAAUUAAUCUUUUCUACUGUUACACCAUAGUUGUCUUAGCUUCAUGGCUAUCUAGAUUUUAAUUUUAUCUUUUAAAACUCAUGGCAUCUUUCUUUUCUGGUUUAUCAAUUAAGUCUAUAUGAACGUGGUGGCCUUACUUAUAAUUGGUUAUUCGACAUUGCCGCCUUAAAUGAUUAAAAUUGGGGACUGAAUCAUUUUGCACAUAAUGAGUCCUUAUGACAUGUUGUUAGUCCUUCUAAUUUGAUCAUUGGUAUAUUCAUUUUUGUUAAUUUGGAUUAAGUAUUGAAAAAUAAUUCAAGUUGCUAAAUCUUGAUUUAUAUUAACUCGUGCUCCAUUGAUUCUUUGGUUGAUUCAUGCUUUCUCUUCAAAUUCGUGAGUUAUUUCAUAUUAGCGUUGAUUAUAAACUUUGAAUGUGUGUUAAUGUGUUUUGAUCAUUUUCUUUGCAUGAUCCUACCUUGGAAUCCCAAAUGAACUCCCCUUUCUUCACAUCUUAAACAGGCCAAUGAGGAGGCCUAUCUUUCGAGUGAAUUCUUAGAGAAAGCUUGAAUAUCAACCCUUGGGUACUGGGUGCAAGGAGCUGAAAGAAGAAAGUGCGUUAAAGUUCCACUUUGAAGUGGCUACGAGACAAAAUUCUCAUUUAUUAUUUCAUUUUAUAUAUUUAUUGCCGUCUUUUAUUUAUUUAUUUAUUUAUUUAUUCAUUCAUUUGGGCCUCGAAGCCAAAACUAUAAAUUUAAUAUAGGUGGAUCGUGACUCGAGCCAAAGGCUCGAAAACUAGAGUAGGACAGAUGAAACGGGUCAAAGGCCCAAUUAGAUUAGGACAGUUUUUGUUGGUUUGGGCCCAAUGGCCUAAAUCGUGUACUUUCUCCUCCCUUUUCCCAUUUAUGUGUUUACUUGCUUAUUUCAUUUGUGUGGACUUAGUUAAAAUCCUUAUUAGGUCGUCUAAAACUGUUUUUACACGAAUCUUUUUUCUAAAAAUCAAUCAUUUUUCAAAAAAUCUUUUGGAAGUUAAUCAUAGACGUUUUCAAAUAGUCCGGAUAACUGUAAGUUAGCGGACGUUUUAGGUGCCUAACACCUUCCUAUAACGUUAAUAGGAAUCACUUACUCGUAAUCUCUAACUUAAGUGAUUUUCUGUUUUGGAUCGUUUAAAGUAUUUUAGAAAGGUUUCUUUAUUCCUUUUCAAAAUUAAGUGGUGACUCUUUCAAAAAGUCAAAAUUUUUGCAAAACAGAAAGGGCGACUCUGCUGGGGACUUUUAACUAGGUUCUAACCAAAUGUUUGAUUUUGUCUUUUGAUUAGCUGUUUAUGUGUGUAUAUAUUUCAAUUCUGUAAAGUUUAACUGUAACGCCCCAGAAAAUGGGCCCCAGAGCAUCACACGGUGGUUGAGGCUACGAGUAGACCCAAGCUAAACCUUUGAGCCAUUUUCAUUCAGUUCAACACAAAUCAACGGGGUUGCCAUAAAUAACCAUCAAAUAUCAACAUAGUAAUCAUCAUCCAAGAAUAAAGAAUUUCAGAAAGAUAACAAAAUACGAUUUAUUAGUCAACUCCCAACAUCUAUACUAGUCUAACAAGCCUUUAAGAAAAUCAAUAAAAUCAGCGAGCCGUGAGACAAGCCCCAACUGACUCAAUACUCAUUUAUCAAAUUUAAACAAUUUCGUGAAACUAACAUCAGAUAUCACGUCCUAGGAAUAUGAGAACUCACCACAAUAGAGGAUGUAGAACAUCGUGCCCAAAGAAUCAUUGUCUAACCUGGAACUGAGCACCUGAACCUACAUUCUGAGAAAAUGCAACCCACAUCCGAAGAUGUGGGUCAGUACCAUUGAAAGGAACCGAGUAUAUGAGAGUGUAUACAGUUGUAUAAACAUCAUCAUCAUAAAUAUUUAUAAGAAAUAUGCAAUAUGUAUGAAAGACUCACAUAGCCCGAAAAAAAUCAUCAUAAUCAUAAGAGGGUGAAAUAAGUACAAUAACACAUGUGAGUCAUCAUAUAAUUUGUCAAUCACUUUAAAUUCAUCAAGAUUAUCAAUUCUCAUAAUGUAAAUAUCAUUUAAAUCUUUCGAAAGAAUAACUUUCACAAUUCCACUUUCAAAUCACUUCACCAUUCACCAUAGACACAAGGAAACACACACACACUGGGAGAUCCUANNNNNNNNNNNNNNNNNNNNNNNNNNNNNNNNNNNNNNNNNNNNNNNNNNNNNNNNNNNNNNNNNNNNNNNNNNNNNNNNNNNNNNNNNNNNNNNNNNNNNNNNNNNNNNNNNNNNNNNNNNNNNNNNNNNNNNNNNNNNNNNNNNNNNNNNNNNNNNNNNNNNNNNNNNNNNNNNNNNNNNNNNNNNNNNNNNNNNNNNNNNNNNNNNNNNNNNNNNNNNNNNNNNNNNNNNNNNNNNNNNNNNNNNNNNNNNNNNNNNNNNNNNNNNNNNNNNNNNNNNNNNNNNNNNNNNNNNNNNNNNNNNNNNNNNNNNNNNNNNNNNNNNNNNNNNNNNNNNNNNNNNNNNNNNNNNNNNNNNNNNNNNNNNNNNNNNNNNNNNNNNNNNNNNNNNNNNNNNNNNNNNNNNNNNNNNNNNNNNNNNNNNNNNNNNNNNNNNNNNNNNNNNNNNNNNNNNNNNNNNNNNNNNNNNNNNNNNNNNNNNNNNNNNNNNNNNNNNNNNNNNNNNNNNNNNNNNNNNNNNNNNNNNNNNNNNNNNNNNNNNNNNNNNNNNNNNNNNNNNNNNNNNNNNNNNNNNNNNNNNNNNNNNNNNNNNNNNNNNNNNNNNNNNNNNNNNNNNNNNNNNNNNNNNNNNNNNNNNNNNNNNNNNNNNNNNNNNNNNNNNNNNNNNNNNNNNNNNNNNNNNNNNNNNNNNNNNNNNNNNNNNNNNNNNNNNNNNNNNNNNNNNNNNNNNNNNNNNNNNNNNNNNNNNNNNNNNNNNNNNNNNNNNNNNNNNNNNNNNNNNNNNNNNNNNNNNNNNNNNNNNNNNNNNNNNNNNNNNNNNNNNNNNNNNNNNNNNNNNNNNNNNNNNNNNNNNNNNNNNUAUAUUUUCGUUGAUAUAUAGUAUCUCACCCAGAUCAUUGUGUACGAGGAGUUAUGAUCGUUUGAAGUUGACCCAAAAAUUCACUUUUGAUAGGCUGAAGUAGAUCGACCAUAACUUUUUGAUCCCAUAGACAAAUUCGAUGAAACCAAUUUCAUUGGAAAGAGAACUCGCAGAGCGUUCCGUUUAUAUAUAGUAGAUCACCCAGAUCAUUAUGUACAACAAGUUAUGAUCAUUUAAAGUUGGAGCAAAAAUACGCCAGGCCUCAGUACUUUUUCCUUCACAUUUUACUGUUCACUUUUAUUCACGGUUCGAUCGGAAUGUUCAUAACUGGUCGCUCGGGUGUCCGUUUUGGAUGAUCCAAAUAUCAUUGGCUGAAACCAUUCGUUAGACUCAUAACCACAUCGUUUCUCACUCUGAAUGCAACAUAGAAUACAUAAAUUCAAGAAACUACAGCUGAACACAUACUAAAUGACAGCUGAACUGCUGCAACUUUUAUCAAAAGUGCAUGAUUUAGGAAAGAACGGUACCUACGGCUUGAUCGGAGUUUUCGAAAAAUAAGUGCGGGUACUUGGAUCGCAUAUCCUCCUCAGCUUCCCAAGUUGCACCCUUAACAGAUUGGUUUCGCCAUAACACCUUGACCAAGGGAACUUCUUUGUUCCUUAGUUUUCGGACGCUGAAAUCAAGAAUCUCCACAGGAAUCUCAUCAAAAGAAAGAUAUUCUUGAAUGUCAACACUCACAGAGGAAUCCACUACCACAGAAUUGCUAAUAUGCUUUCUAAGCAUGGAGACAUGGAAUAUUGGAUGAACAGAAGACAACUCGGAAGGCUACUCAACUUCAUAAGGUACCUUACCAACACGACUAAGAAUUUUGUAAGGACUAACAUAACGGGGACUAAGCUUCCCCUUCUUUCCGAAUCUCUUCACCCCUCUCAUAGGUGAAAUUUUUAGAUACACUAGGUCACCAACUUCAAACUCAAGGUCUCUCCUUCUAAUAUCCGCAUAUGACUUCUGACGACUCUGCGCAGUUUUCAACCUUUCCUUAAUUAACUUAACUUUUUCCAUAGCCUCAAGUACCUAAUCAGGACCACUCACAAUCGUUUCACCCAUAUCUAACGAACCUAUGGGUGAUCUACACUUCCUCCCAUAUAAGGCUUCAAAUGGAGCCAUGCCAAUACUAGAGUGGAAACUGUUAUUGUAAGAAAACUCUAUCAACGGUAAGUGAUCAUCCCAACUUCCCUUAAAGUCAACUGCACAAGCUCUCAACAUAUCCUCUAAGGUCUGGAUGGUCCGCUCAGCCUGACCAUUCAUCUGCGGAUGAAAAAAAGAACUCAAAAGCACUUGGGUACCAAGACCCUUCUGAAAAGCUUUCCAAAAUUGNNNNNNNNNNNNNNNNNNNNNNNNNNNNNNNNNNNNNNNNNNNNNNNNNNNNNNNNNNNNNNNNNNNNNNNNNNNNNNNNNNNNNNNNNNNNNNNNNNNNNNNNNNNNNNNNNNNNNNNNNNNNNNNNNNNNNNNNNNNNNNNNNNNNNNNNNNNNNNNNNNNNNNNNNNNNNNNNNNNNNNNNNNNNNNNNNNNNNNNNNNNNNNNNNNNNNNNNNNNNNNNNNNNNNNNNNNNNNNNNNNNNNNNNNNNNNNNNNNNNNNNNNNNNNNNNNNNNNNNNNNCUGUUGGCAUGUUGCACACUUAGCUACAAACGCUGCUAUAUCUUUCUUCAUGCCACUCCACCAAUAGAUUUCUCGCAAGUCUCGGUACAUCUUGGUGGCACCAGGAUGAAUAGAAUAUUGCGCCCCGUGCGCUUUAGCCAUAAUCCUCUGUCUCAGAUCAUUAACAUUCAGGACACAUAAUCUACCCUGCAAUCUCAACACACCAUCUACCACUUGGGAGAAAAUCUCUACUUUUUGGUCCUUGACUGACUUCUUUUGUCUGACCAAACUAGCAUCUAAGUAUUGCUUUUCCUUCAUUUCCGAAACCAAGGAGGAUUCAGAACUACUCUGAACCCCUAUACUACCUUCAGCAGAGUCAAGCAACCUAACCCCCAAUCUAGCCAAACGAUGUACAUCAUGAGCCAAUUUUUUCUUACCUUCUACCAUAUGUGAAACACUACCCAUGGACACUCUACUUAGGGCAUCCGCCACAAUAUUGGCUUUUUUCGGAUGGUACAGCACACUCAUAUCAUAAUCCUUUAACAAUUCUAACCAUCGUCUCUACCUAAGAUUCAAUUCUCUCUGGGUAAAAACAUACUGCAAACUCUUGUGAUUAGUGAAAACAUUAACAUGGACACCAUACAAAUAGUGUCUCCAGAUUUUCAAAGCAAACACAACAGUAGCCAACUCAAGCUCAUGGGUGGGGUAAUUUUUCUCACGGGGUUUCAGAUGUCUAAAACAUAAGCUAUAACCUUACCCUUCUGCAUCAAUACGCAACCCAACCCAACUCUCAAAGCAUCACAGUACACCACAAAAUCAUCAACACCAUUAGAUAAAGUCAAAACAGGGGCUGAAGUGAGUCGAGUCUUCAAAUCCAGAAAACUCUUCUCACAAGAUUCGGACCACAAGAACUUUACUUUCUUUUGGGUCAACCGAGUCAUAGGAGAAUCUAUAGAGGAUAAACCUCAACAAAAAGGUGGUAAUAGCCAGCUAAACCCAAGAAACUUUGGAUAUCAGUUAGAGAAAUAGGUCUAGGACAAUUUCUAACAGCUUCUGUCUUUUGGGGAUCAACUCUAAUACCCUUGGAAAAAUGAUAUGACCCAGAAAAACAAUUGACCUAAGCCAAAACUUACACUUACUGAACUUGGCAAACAACUUAUGAUAUCUAAGGGUUUGCAAGACAGUUCGGAAAUGAUCAGAAUAUUCAUCCUCACUACAGGAGUACACCAAUAUAUCAUCUAUGAACACUAUGACAAAUAUAUCCUGAUAUGAUCUGAACACUUGAUUCAUGAGGUUCAUGAAAGUUGUUGGGGCAUUAGUUAACCCGAAAGACAUAACAAGAAACUCAAAUUGGCCAUAAUGAGUUUGAAAAGCGGUUUUCGAGAUGUCACACUCCCUAACUUUGAGUUGAUGAUAGCCGGAAUGAAGGUUUAUCUUUGAGAAAUAACUUGCACCUUGCAAUUGGUCAAACAAAUCAUCCAUUCUCGGAAGAAGGUACUUAUUUUGUAUGGUGACUUUAUUCAGUUGGCGGUAAUCAAUGCACAUACACAAAGAGCUAUCUUUCUUUCUCACAAACAACACAAGAGAACCCCAAGAAGAAACACUGGCCCUUAUGAAACCCUUAUCUAGUAGAUCUUUGAUUUUCUCCUUCAACUCCUCAAGUUCUAUAAGGGCCAUACGGUAAGGAGGAAUAGAAAUGGGCUGAGUAUCAGGAACAAGAUCAAUCCCAAACUCUAUCUCUCAAUCAGGAGGUAUCCUUGGGAGAUCAUCCAGAAAGACAUCAAAAAACUCAUUGACGACGUUAACAGACUGGAGAGUUGGAGUCUUAGACUUAGUUUCUUUGACUCUAACCAAAUGGUAAAUACACCCCUUGGAAAUAAGCUUUCUAGCUUUGAGGUAAGAGAUAAAAUGACUCUUGGGUGACACAGAAUUCCCAGACCACUCAAACAUGGAUGCACCCGAAAAUUGAAACUUGACUACUCGGGUCCGACAAUCAAUAGAGGCAUAAGAAGAAUACAACUAGUCCAUACACAGAAUUAUAUCAAAAUCUACUGUGUCUAACUCAAUCAGAUCAGCCAAUAAGACUCUAUAAAGAACGAUAAUAGGAUACUUUUUAUAUACUUUCUAGGCAACAAUCGAAUCACCCACUGAGGUAGAAACUAGGAUAGGCUCAGGAAUAAUCUCAGGACUCAUUUCAAAAUUCACAGCAAUAAAAGGUGUAACAUAUGAGAAACUGUAUCUAGGAUCCAACAAAGCAUACACAUCAAACUAAAAUAUACGAAGCGUACCAGUAACAACAUCGAGAGAGUCCUCCUGUUCCUGAUGGGAUGGUAAAGCAUAGAAUCUAUUCUGGCACUGCCCGUCAGCAUUGCUAGAAGAGGCGCCCUGAGCCAGGGCUGGGUGAGUCACUUGAAUUGGAGCACUAACAGUCUGAGUCUGGUUCUGAGGGCGAUAGUCAUGACGUCCUUGUCCAUCCUGUGGACAAUCUCUAACUCUGUGACCCAUGUCACCACACCAGAAAUAAUUCCUCUUCUCACCCCAACACUCACCUGAAUGAGCCCUACCACACUUAGGACACAGGGGACGAUUUAGCUUACUGCCAGCACUGUACUGGGACCUGGAUGAAUAUGACCUGGUGCCUUGCUCCUGCCUACCUCUAGGCAUGGGAGCACUAGCAGAUGACAGUGCUGGCAUAGAUAAAUGAUCCUGAUACUGAGGGCGACUCCCUCCUUCCGAUCUAGUCUAACCCUGUCCGUGCUGCUCGAGCCUAGCUCUCUUAUUCUCUCUCAUUCUAUCUCUCUCCUUAAUCUUGUCUACCUUAAUCUGUUAGUCAUAAGUCAUCAUCCUAGAAAGAUUUAUCUCAUUAUUCAACAUAGCAGACCUACAAUCCUUAACCACAUAACUAGACACUCCAGUCAAAAACUUACUCAUACUAGCCCGAUUAUCAGCCACUAAGUUAGGAGCAUACUUAGCCAACAGAUUGAACUUUAGACUGUACUCCCUAAUAGUCAUAGAGCCCUGUCACAGGUUCAUAAACUCUUCCACCUGUCAUAGGUUCACAACUUAUCAAAGAAUGCAUCCUGGAACUCUUGCCAAGUUGUAGGGAUAACUCCCUUACCUCUACCUUUCCUCCAAUAAAUAACCCAGUCAUAAGCAAGGUCUUUCAACCUUUACGCAGCCAACUUCACACUAUGUUCCUCAAAUACAUGCAUCACCUGAGUAAUCUUCUGCACCUCCUCUAAAAAUAACUGAGGAUCCUCAUCAAACUUGGACAUAUAGAAUUUUGGUGGAUUCAUCCGCAUGAAGUCAUGGAUCCUGGCAGUAGCUGAAUCACCUCUCUACUGCUAUGGAGCCGGGGCUGGGUUGGCCUGAACAUUUGCAGUAACAGCUUGGGCCAGCACCUGAAAGGCUGCCCGAAAUUCAGCAUGAGACACUUUUUUAUUUAAUGGGUCAGCGGGUUGAGGUAGCUGACCAUCAUUAUUUCUUCUCUCUCGAUGUGGAGGCAUAUUUCUGAAAGAAGAGAGCACGAAUUAAUAGCAGAGAGAGGCACUUUAAGCACGAUAGAAUUUUGAAAGAAAGAAUCACACUUUUUCAUAAAACGUCUUGUAGCCUCUUGCUCAUAGAUUUGGCGCGCUACACACCGAUGAUCAAGACUCUACAUAACGCAGCUUGUCAGACUCCCUUGGACACCUUAAAACCUUAGGCUUUGAUACCAAGUUUGUAAUGCCCUAGAAAAUGGGUCCCAGAGCGUCACACGGUGCUUGAGGCUAUGAGUAGCCCUAAGCUAACCCUUUGAGCCAUUUUCAUUGAGUUUAACACAAAUCAACGGGGUUUCCAUAAAUAAUCCUCAAAUAUCAACAGAGUAAUCAUUAUCCAAGAAUAAAAGAAUUUCAGAAAGAUAACAAAAUACGAAUUAUUAGUCCACUCCCAAUAUCUAUACUAGUCUGACAAGCCUCUAAGAAAAUCAAUAAAACAAGCGAGCCAUUGAGACAUGCCCCAACUGACUCAUAUUCAGUUAUCAAAUGUAAAAAAUUCCGUGAAACCAACAUCAAACAUCACUUCCUUAGAAUAUGAGGACUCACCAUAACAGAGAAUAUAGAACAUCAAGCCCGAAGAAUCACUGUCGAACCUGGAACUGAGCACCUGAACCUACAUUCUGAGAAAAUGCAGCCCAUAUCGGAAGAUGUGGGUCAGUACCAUUGAAAGGAACCGAGUAUAUGGGAGUGUAUGCAGUUGUAUUAACAUCAUCAUCAUAAAUAUUUAUAAGAAAUAUGCAAGAUGUAUGAAAGACUCACAUAGUCCGAAAAAAAUCAUCAUAAUCAUGAGAGGGUGAAAUAAGUACAAUAACACAUGUGAGUCAUCAUAUCAUUUGUCAAUCACUUUCAGUACAUCAAGAAUAUCAAUUCUCAUAAUGUAAAUAUCAUUUAAAUGUUUCGAAAGAAUAACUUUCACAAUUCCACUUUCAAAUCACUUUACCAUUCACCAUAGACCCAAGGAAACACAUGCACACUGGGAGAUCCUAUAACCAACAUAAACUAUGUGAGCUACACGGAGUCCAACGUACAACUCACAUUGGGGAGAGCCGUUCUAUUCUUGCCAUCGGAGUAGGACUAUUGAUAUCAAAUCCACACAAACUGGUGAUCACUAUAUAAAUCAGCCUCAGGCUCACUCCUAUGGGGGGCAUGUAGUUCUAGAGAACUAAGGUCGCUUUAUACCUCCCACUCGGUGCUAAAAAUUUCUCUCGGACAUAGCUCAGAUCAUUUUAAAGACAAUCCACAACAAAAAAAAUUUGGUAAUAUAUAAAUAUACAUCGGGAGCCAUCAUGUUUCCCAUCAAUCAAAAUCAACCAUGUUGUAGAUUUAUUUCACACUCGAGUUCAAAACAACUCAAUUAAGACCAAAAUGUCAAAUAAUUCAAAAGAUCUCAAAUAUUCAACAUCAACGUACUUAUAACACACACUUUCUCAAAGAAAAACACAAUAUCCAAUAGGGAUUCACGAUCCAAAUAUCAAAAUCAUGAUAAAUAUCAUUCAAGAUUCAUGCUUUAUAUCACCACACAUGUAAAUUCAUCUUUCAAAAUCAUAAACAUCAAGAUUUCAUAAUAAUCAUCAUAAGAUAUGGGUUCAUGCUUCAAAUUCAUAAAAAUCAAAUAAAAAUCAUGCCUUUGUAAAGAAAAUUACUUUUGGGCACAAGAACGAAAGAGAGUUCUUGUUGAAAAAUCUCACAUACCUUGAAUGAUGAAUUUAGAUCGAUACUUGGUUUUAAGAUGUUAAUCAUGCCUUUAAAUGAUGGUUCUUGGAGUUCUUGAACUAGGAACUUGGAAUCUUGAAUAAAUUUGCAGAAUUAAUGGUGAACUUUGGAGGUUCUUGAAGUUGGAUGUAGGCGCUUAAGAUUUUCUUUUCGAGGGAGUUUGAUGAAAUAUGAUAGAUAAUGCUUCUAAUAGGCUUUAAUAUAUGGUUUGGACAGAUUUUGGGUGAGGAGGAAUGACCAAAACGCCCCUAAAAAUCAAAAAAAUUCUCGAAUCUGUCCUUUGGUGGACUGUUUUGAUAGUUUGAAGUAGAUCAACUAUAACGUUUUAUGUAGAUAUUUAAAUUGGAUGAAACCAAUUUCAUUAGAAAGAGGACUCUCGUAUAUUUCCGUUGAUAUAUAGUAUCUCACCCAGAUCAUUGUGUACGAGGAGUUAUGAUCGUUUGAAGUUGACCCGAAAUUUCACUUUUGAUAGGAUGAAGUAGAUCGACCAUAACUUUUUGCUCCCAUAGAAAAAUUGGAUGAAACCAAUUUCAUUGAAAAGAGGACUCGCAUAGAAUUCCAUUGAUAUAUGGUAGAUCACCCAGAUCAUUAUGUACAAAGAGUUAUGAUCAUUUAAAUUUGGAGCAAAAAUACGCCAGGCCUCAGUACUUUUUCUUGCACGUUUUACUGUUCACUACUAUUCAUGGUUCGAUCAGAAUAUUCAUAAAUCGUCUCUCGGGUGUCCUUUUUAGAUGAUCCACAUAUCAUUGGAAAUAUCAUUCGAUACUCUAUGCAAUGGUGGGUCAUAAUCUAAGACAUUUCGCAUGAAAAAUUUAUAAUUCAUUCUAGAAUAUAGAACCCAACACGUUUACGCACAAAAUUUGAACGAAAAAUUACCCAGGGUAUUACAUUAACUAUCACAUCUAAUGGCAUAUUCUUGCAUUAUUUAAACUUUUUUGGGAUUUUGUGGAUUUCCCGAACCGUAUUGUUCAAUUCCAAUAAUGUGUUGGAAAUACGAACGACUUAUUAGCACGUGAGUCAUCCGAUGGCUGUUCAUAUUUUCAAACUCAAGUUGUCUGCUUGAUAACCAGAGUUCAAACCCACUCUAGACUCCUAGGAUAGAAUGAUACCAAAACCCUAUUUUAGGCAUGAGUCUAGGAUGACCCAAUACCCGAGCGGGGUAUUGGGCCCAUUAGAAAACCUGUCCUUCGUCUAUUAACCCCGAGUCAAUUAUAGAUGAACCAUAUUUAUGUGUUGAAAAAAAUAUAUGCCUAUCUAAUUUAAUCCAUUAUCCUUAGGGGGUCAGGAAAAAACUUGAUUUGAUUACUUUCAUAAGAAGAAUUGAAGCAAGUUAAGCAAGAAAUUGAUCGAUUUGGGAGGUUGCAUCUAAGGCACUGUUUUAACGUGAACAGAUGUAACCAAUAUAAGAAAUGGACAAAGAUAAGAAGGAGAAGGUUGAUAGAAGAAGCACCCAGGAGUUAGUAUUUUCUAUCCCCUAUAUGGGAACGUGUCUUCUUUCAUGUUAUUUCCCUUUCCCUAAAGAUUGUAAUCCUCUUUUGUUAUCUUUUGUAGGUAUUUAUGCCCUUUUAGUGUCUAUAAAAGUUAGGGAAUAAUGGAUUGACCUUAAGCAAGCAUAUAUUUUUCUUUAAAAAUCAUUAGGCCCAAACCCUUGGCUCAAAAGGGUUACCCCAGUUAGGAUACACAUUAGUAUAAUGUUCUUAUGUGAUAUAAUUGUCUUAUGUGUUUGUGUACGUUUGUUUGGAUCAAAGACAAAUUUAUCCGCUAUGCUCCUAUGGAUUGAUUUGGCUAUGACACAAACAACUUUACGUGGCUAUUUCUGGUAAAAUAUUUUGCAUUGCUUAUCACAUGUGGAAACUAACACAUUUUCCUUUGAGUUGGUUUUACUUUACAUAUAAUAAAAAACUACUCCGUGUUGAAAUAAGCUGGCAGAACAUCCUUACUUCACCAGGUCAAAAGCGCACAAAAUCCCAUCCUCUAACCAUCAUUCAAUAAUAAAUGGAAAUGAUGAAGAAAAUACAUUGACUAUCAGGGACAAUGUAAUAGUAGAAUAGAGUGAGAUGAUCACGGAACUCGCAAGAAAGCUAGAAAUGAUUUAGGAGGAAAUAAAUCAUACUCAAGAUUUGGCUAACCUACCCAUCACUGUCAAUGCUCCCGCUCUAGGAGGACAUAGGAUUCCACUCCAAAUCUUUUUCCUCAGUACGCCUAUUCUAGGGGAUUAGCCAAAUAACAUAUCGUCCGUCUCUGCCGCUCCACUUGUACAAAAUACCAAUCGUGAAAAUAACCCAGAUGCUUACCAUCCACAAAAUCUAGACCUCACCCCACAAAAUCCUUCUACGAAUCAACAAAAUUCAUUGCCGAAUCCCUAGAACCCAUUGGUAAAUCCAUCCCCAGAUCUACCAAAUCUGCCAAAUCUAUCUUCGAACCCACAAACUUUAUUUCUGAAUCCGCAGAAUCCCUCCCAGAUCCCACUAAGCCACUCUUAAAUUCCACAAAAAUUUUCCAGUUUCCGAAAUGUUCUCCUCACCCACCAACCAACUUCUUUUCAUCCAUAAAAUCAAGCAGCCUUUCCAAAUUUUUCUCAUGUCAUCAUAUCCUAUGACAUCUAUAAUUCCCUUCCUAAACCCGAGGUGGACCAUUACGAGGAGAAAGAGAAAAAGUGAAGGACCAAGCAUGAAAUAAAGUUUCUAGAUAUGAAUGAGGAGAUCAUAAGGAUCAAGGAAUCUCAUGGAUCAUGGAAUAAUGACGGGUUAGGUUAUAAUGAUUUAUGUGUUCACCCUAGAGUAGAUCUACCAGAAGGGAAUAUGGUCCCUAAAUUUGAAGUGUUCGAUGGAACCGGAAAUCCAAUGUCCCAUCUGAGAAAGUAUUGUGAUCAAAUGGUGGGAUUAGGAAAAAAUAAGACAUUAUUGAUGCGCUUAUUCAGCCGAAGCUUAAGUGGUGAAGCCUUAGAUUGGUUCACGUCUCAAGAACUGAAAAAAUGGAUUAGUUGGAGGGCAUUGGCUAAACGUUUCUUUAAUAGAUUUGUAUUCAACAUUGAAAUAGUCCUUGACCAAAAUUCACUACAUCGGAUCAAGCAGAGGAAUGAUGAGUAUUUCUGAAACUAUGCCUUCCAUUGGAGAAAAGAAGCUGCCAAAGUACAACCUACCAUGUCUUAGGAAGAAAUGGUGUCUAUGUUCUCUCGCACUCAGAAAGGAGAAUAUUAUACCAAGUUGGUAUCUGUAGUCCGAGCAACUUUUUCAGAUUUAGUAAAGAUUGGGGAAUCAUUAGAGGAAGACAUCCAAACAAGAAAAAUUGCCAAAACCCCAACAUCAUCUGAAUCUUCUACAUUCUCAAUGAAGAAAAGAGAGGAUGUGACUGCGGUCUCUAUUAAUUUUAUUGAUAAAUUGAAGUGGAAAUUCAAGCCUAGGAAUAUUCUUUCCUCACCACCGUCACCAAAUUUUCAGCUUGUAUUCUACGGCCAUCCCCAAUAUCAAGCUCUAAUUUCAAAUAUUUUACCCCAGUGCCAAAUUUCGCAGCCAAAUUAUCAAUCUCAUGUUCAAGCUAUUCUUCCAAACAAGAAAAUAAAAGUCCAAGCGCCUCCAAAAUAUCAUCAUGUACCUCCUUCUACUAAUCAAAAUUAGUAUAACCACCUACGUGUAAGCCUAGAGAAGAAGCCUCCCAGAAAAUUUACUAUAUUGGCUGAAAGUCGUACCCAUCUCUUCGGAAGAUUGAUGAAGGCUGGUUAUGUACAGCCUAUUUCACCAAAGACUACCAAUCUCAAUUCUUGAUUCUUUCAUGUCGAUCAAGUCUGUUCUUAUCAUUAAGGAGCUCCCGAGCAUAACACUAAAGAUUGCAUCAAUCUGAAACACAAGAUCCAGGACUUGAUUGACCAUAAAAUCAUCACUUUUCAGGUGCCGGCACCAAAUGUUGCUAGUAACCAUUUCCUAAUCACGAGGGAGCCAUGUUUAUGAUGAUCGAAAUAGCAGGCGAAUGGGUAUCUAGCGAGACAAUUGCUAAUGUGUAUUCAUGAAACUCCAAAAAGACAGAAGGAGUGGAAAUGAUAGAGAAAGUUGUGGUUGGCUUGAGUAAGAAUUCGAAAGGAAUUAUUGAGCCUAUUAUGGUCCUAAAAAGAGAAUUUAAGCGUGGAGUAGGAUACCAACCAAGAAAGGAAGAUGAGAUCGAAGAUAAUUCAAAAGAGAGUUUGUUUAGGCCCUUGCCGCUAUUGUACCAGUCAUUUCCCGUACAUGAGAUGUCAAAUGAUAAUGGUCUUGGGGAUAGCAUAGUAGAUAUAUUUGAAGGAUUGAAUACUCUACUAGAUGAUUUCCCAAAGUCCUGUGAGGUGAAGAAGAUUGCAUCAAAGGAGGCCUUGCAAAACUGGACCUUCACUCCACUCAUAACCCGUCACCCAUCGUGGUAGAUGAAAAGGGAAAUUACUAAUAAUUUUUAAAAUCAGUGAUGAUCCGGAGGAAGCCCCGUGAUCUAGCCUUUUAUGUCUCAGUUUUAUGUUUUACAACUUUCAAAAAGGCAUGGGCCCACAUUUGUGUGGGUCAUGAGCCAUAAUUUUUAUUUAUUUUCCAAAAGGCCUCCCUUUAUUUAAGAGGUUCUUUUUUUUUUAAAUAUGAUUAUCUAGCAUGGUUUAUUUUGGUAGCAAUAAUUUAAAAACCUGCCAAUAUCAUGUCAUGUCAAGGGUUAGACGAACAAAGCAAAGGAAAUAAUGAUGAACAAAAAAAGUGAUGAGGAGCAGUUAGUAGUAGAUAUAAAGGAAUGUGAAAAUCAAAAGAAUCCCAACCUGGAGGAGACCUAAUCCUACCUGAUAUGGAUGGUCAAGAGGGAACCAAACUAAUCAAUUCUGAUGCGGUAAAGAGAUAUUGUUCUUGACAGAUGUUAUAGUUUUUUUUUCUUGGGUUAUUUGUAAUCGUCUUAAUAAUAGUAUCAAUUUCAUGAUGUGUAAUUGCCUAGAACCCCUUCCCUUUAUGUAUGAACUACGUUUGACCUGAAUUAUCAAGAAUGAGAUAUGUAGGCGACCUAUAUUGGCUUUGGUCAACCCCUCAGGAAAAUUUAUCCUUUCCUUUUAUGUAUGAACUACGUGAUGACCUGAAUUCUCAAGAAUAAGAUACGUAGGCGGCCUAUGUAUGCUUCGAUCAACCUAUUAGAUUUUUCUAUAUAUCCUUAACGUAGUCUUGAACUAUGUUUGACCUGAUUCUUGCUUUAACGGGAUACGUAGGCUCCCCAACGGCUCAGUCAUAUAACCCCAGGAAAUGGAAACUGGGCAGACUUUUCAAGAAGGAAUCUUGAAAAUUCAUAAAACGAAGAUCGUCAUUCAACAAACAGAACGAAGACCAAUAAAUACUUCGGAUCCUCUCGAGUUGACAUCAUAUCAAACAACCUUAAAUUGGGGCAGAAAUUUUGAGGGAGGCAUCAAAACUUCCACCAAAUACUGGAAUAUAUUUCAAAUUCCCCCGCACUAGGGUCGAAGUCGAGAUUUGAGAAUUACCACCUGUGAUAAAGUCUAGGUAAAUUAAAUCUUCGGCUACGACGAAACCAUUUAUAGAACCCUCCAACAAUGAUGAUGAAUUCUAGAACCCCCUCCAUCGGAUAUAGUCAAAACUAAGAGGAAUACAUUCGUUGAGCUAGUACAUGACAUGACUGACAGAUAUUUUUGAAAGCUUUUAUAGAAACUUUCGAAACUAUUUGCUAAAAAUAAGACUACUUUUAAAAAAUGUUUACAAAAUCUUUUACUUAGUGAUAUCCUAGGCGUCUAUAGAAGCAGGGAGCCAGGGUGGAAUAACCAACAUGGUGGAGUACCUAAAAGAUGGCGUGGAGCAAAUGAAGAAUCGAAGAAGGUCAACAUAGAGUAGUUUCACUCAAACUAAUCAUUUUCCUGUGGAUGCAGGGACUAAUACACAAAAAUAAGAGUCUUUUUUAAAAAUCUCCGAGCAAAUUCGGAGACACACCAGAGCACUAAUGCCCAAGAACGGUAUUUUUAGGUAGCCCUAAAAAUGAGUUUAAUACCCAUUUAUUGAGGACCCGUAGAAUUGUCCAUCCCAUAUCUUGAGAUCAUGGAGGAUAAACAAAAGUGUUUUGUCUUCUUUACAAAUAUCGUAUUUAUAGUUUUUCUAAAAAAUAAUCGCUAGCAAAAGCAACUUUGUGUCUACUAAUCGUCUGCCUUGAGUACAGGUACAUGUAGAAAGCAAGACGUAGACAAACAAACUCAGGUGAAACUGUUUUGAAAUUGCCAAGAGGGCCAUUCAUAUCAUCGCCAAGAGGGCCAAUUCAUAUCAUUGCCAAGAGGUCCAUUCAUAUCAUUUGCCAAGAGGGCCAUUUUAUAUCUGUUGACAUGCAAAGACAUAAACGCUGGCAUCGAGGAUAUCAUCCCAUUUUAUAUCUGUUGACACACAUGACAUAAACGCUAGCAUCGAGAAUAUCAUCAGUAUUUUAUAUCUAUUGACAUGCAAAGAUAUAAACGCUGGCGUCCAGGAUAUCAUCCUAAUUUAUAUUUGUUGACACGUAAGACAAAAAUGCUGGCGUCGAGGAUAUCAUCAUCAUUAUUUAAUAUCUAUUGACAUGCUAGACAUAAACACUGGCAUCAAGGAUAUCUCAUAAUUUUAUGAAUCAGCAUCUGAAUGCAUCAAGAGAACACGAUUUGAAGGGACACCUUUAAGUCGGUGUCUAAAGAUGGAUGAUAUGUGAGAUUUCAUAGAAAUUGACAAUUUGAGGGUCAUCUAUAAGUCAUGUUAUUUGAAAUAGGAUAGUGUGAAAGAUCACCUAUGAGUUGAUAUCUUGUAGGUCAUCCGUAAGUCACAAUAGUAUCCUAACCGAAUAGUGUACAAGAUUGCCCAAAAAUUGAUAGUCUGGAGGUUAUCCAUAAGUCGCAACUAAAUCCUUAUCGAAGAAUAUGUAAGAUAAUCAAAUUAAUACGUCCAAGGGUUCUCUUUAAGCCUUAUCAUAUCCAUGAUUGAUUUUGUGCAGGAUUACCCAAGGACUAGCAAUUUGAGUGAUAUCUAUAAGUCAUAUUGUAUCCAAGGUCGGAUGAUGUGCAGGAACACCUAAAAGCUAGUGAUUAGAGGGAUAUCUAUAAGCCAUCUCUUAUCCAAGGUCGGAUAAUGUGCAGGAUUACCUAAAAGCUAGUAAUUCAAAGGAUAUCUGUAAGUUGCCUCAUAUCCAACAUCAAAUAAUGCGCAAGAUUAUCCAAAGAUUGACAAUUUAAGAGAAAUUUGUAAAUUAUCAGCUAUAACCAGAGAGGUUAUCAUUCCAUAUACAACAAGUGAUAUAGGUGACCAAAAGGGUUGCCGCAUCAUUACAAGAUUACAUGAUUGUAGUGACCGCUCUGCAUAAAGUAUCGUCGGUGUCCAAAAGGGCCACCCCAUAUUGAAGACUUAUUCAACUGACAAAUAUCAUAAUUAUUCAACAACCAAGAGGUUUUUUGUGUUUGUUUUUGCCAAUUAUUUCAUUCCAAAUAGGUACAUGAAGAGAUGACUCUGCUUUUCAGGCCAUAACUCACGUGGAGAUAUGGCAAAAGACUACAUACCACUUUCAUAAAUUAUGUUUAGCACUGACACUUCUUCCUUGAAGCAUUGUCGUGAGCAUCCAAGAGGAUGAAAAUCUCAAAUCAAAACCACAGGUGUGGACAACUUCAGAUAGGACGCAGAACAACGUGGAACUCAUUCUUAGCAGCAAAAUGGGACAUAAUCUAGAGAGGGACGUCAAACUCUUUAGAUGUGAGCUAAAGGAUGAUCACCACCACCAUCUAACCAAACCUCUAUUGGAAGACAUGUAGGUAUUUUUGUGAUAUUCUGGUUUCUGCUUCACCUUCGGGAUUUUUCUAAACUCAUGCCGAGGGUAACCUUUUCUUUCUUUCAAAUUCGGUUGACAACACACUUAGAGCUUUGGAAAUUAUGUGUUGGUAAGUUCUUUCAUAUGGAUAUGAAGGAUCCCACAUUCAUGUUUAAGAGGUUACAAAAUUAAUUUUCGUAACUCAACAACUUGUCACUCAUCUCGAGCCAAAGAUCAUCUGAAAUAGAAGACUAUCUUUUCUACCGAUCGAGUCAAACUACAAACAAUUUGAUUCCCUGAAAUCUUAGGGAUGUGUAGGAUGGGAUCUAAGUAGAAAACUCGACUUCAUUCCAACCUCCCCCCAAAUCAAUUUAUUCCACAUCUUUUUGAUUUCAUAAAAAACUUUAAAAUCGAGAUAGCUUGUGGGUCUUCUUGAAAAUUGUGCUUAAAAUCAAGCUUUAUUAACUACAAGUGGCCUAAAUUCUCAUAAAAACUAAGAUAUGUAGGAAACCUGAUACCGAGAUCUGGCUAUAACUAUUCAAAACUCGUGCGAAAACCAACCUCUUUCAGAAAUGAAUUUGUCAUCGGUCAAAAAUUAGGAACAUCAACCUUCCUUUGCCCAGGGUUACUUUCAUCCACCCUACCCAAAGGCAAGGGGUAGUUGUUGACACCUAAUUUUUGUCCUCCAUAACUAAGUUUAAUUUAGAGUUUCUUCGAUUUUCAAAUAAAACUACAAUAUUUAUUUUAUCCGAAUAAAGGAUUUUCAAAGUAUUUAUUUGGGUAAAUUGGUCAUUUAAGUAGAUAUUAUAUAUUAUCGUGUUCAAUUACACGAAAAUUUAUUAAUUUUGUUACUUAAAAAUUUAUUUUACAAAAUAUCGAAUUUUAGUCAAGGCUUAUCUUGAAAAUAAAUUCAAAUAACUAAAAUCUUGAUCUAAAUAUAAUUUUCUCUAAAAAAUAAUUUAUUUGGAUAAAUAUUUGUUUGAUUUUAUUAAAUCAAGAAGAUCAGGGUUAAACAGGUGUUAAUUCAUAUCGAAUUCUGAUUCAAUUACAAUUUGUUAAAUUAGGACCUUAAUUGAAAUCAAUUCGACCAUAAUUGCUAUGCAAUUGGUCGAUUGAGUUUUAAUUAGGAUAACUUUUAAAUGCAAUUGACUAAUUUUUUUUUCUUUGGCUAUUUAUUAAAUAGCCAAAAUAGCAUAAUCUAUCCUAACCCCAAAAUAAGCCAUUUAGUCCCAAUUAACUAAUCAAAGCAGCCAAUUUCUCCCUUUUUAAAUUACCAGCCCAACAACAACAAUUACCUACCUAUAAACCAUUUAAAAAAGGGCCCAAUCCAUACCAAAUCGACCCGGCUCAUUCUGAUAUCCCCUUUUCUUUUUCUCCAAUCGACCCAUUUUCAUCUAGAAAACCCAAAUACAUCAUUUCCCCUUUAAUUUGUACGGAUUCCAUGACCUCUACGUUAGUUUGUAUGUCGAAGAACCUCAAAUCUUCUAGAAAAGCACCUAGGUGUCUUCACCAACGGUUCAAUCCCACAUUUAUCGGAUAAGAUUGUAUGAUUUCGUAUAAUAGUUUGUUGAUUUUCAUUGGUUCUUGAAGGGAAUUCAUUUUGCCUAAAUGAGAUUGGUCCACCCGUUUUAUUUUUUGGAAAAAAUCCCAAAAAUUGGCAUGAUUUGAGCACAAAAAAUGAGUUGUGAGGGGAUUUUUCAAAUUUCAAAAUUCAAAAAAUAUCCCCUCUUUCAAGUCCCCAAAAGACCCCCAAUUUGAAUUCUAUAUAAAGACCCUUGGGGUCACUGUUUUGGGGGAUUUUUUUCUUUUUUUGGGGAGGGUUCGAAAAUUGGGGGAAUUUUUUUGGGAGGUCACUUUUUUUUUAGGGGAAAAAUUUUGGUUGAGGAAAAGGGGAAAAAUUCAAUAGAGAUUUCGGGGUUCGAAAUUUCCUUAGAAGUUUUGAGGGAUUUUUGGCUGAGGUUCGGAAAUUUUUUUAGGGGGCUCUGGAUUCAAGGACCUGAGAGGUUAGGAACUUUUCUGCCAAUGAAUUGAAGGUUUUCGAGUUGAUAUCAUUAAUUCCUGGGGGUGUUGGAAUCCGGCAACUAUCUCGUAGUCUCUUUUUGCUACCCCAGAAGAGGUGAAUAUACUCUUAUUAUCUUAAUUUCAUCACUUUUUGCUUUAUCCCCAUUUUUUUAGUAGAACUAGUUAAUAUUUUAUCGAUAAUUAUGAAUGAGGCUGGGUUUUAUCUGCUGCAGAUGGACGUGAUGGCCUUAGGGGCUGUUUUGUAAUUAUUUUUAUGCCAUUUUGUUGAAGCAGUGCUCAUGUCAUAAUUUUCAAAGAGAUUAUGUCGAACAUACUGCCUUUUAAUUGAUAUUACUGCCUUUUAAUUGAUGUUGCUAGUUAUCUAGGAUUUUAUGACAUGAGUCGGUAUAUAGCUCAUCAAGAUUUCACUUUUUGUUUCUAGUUUCACCUUUAGAGUUAGUAUUUCUUGUCGCAUUAGGAUAACUAUUGUCAUAAUCGAUUGAUCCAUGAUUUAGCUUCAUCUUUCUCCUUUUUAUUUUAUAAUCUGUUUGUUUGAAACUUGAUAUCAUUAGCUAAUACCUAUUAUCAUCAUCUCACAUUGUUGCUUGCAAUUUGGCUUGCUGUUCUCGGCUAAAUUCAUGCCUCAGUGUCUACUUUACUAUUUCAUCUUGACAUUGCCUUGCUGGGUCACUGUUCAGUCUUUGUGGUGCCAUUAGUAUUGUUAUAUAUUUAGUUCUUUUAGCUCUUCAAAGGCCAAAAUAAUGGGGAGGUAUCAGAGGGGAACCAGAAUUCUCAUAGUCCCUGGAAGACCUUCUUGAGUGACAAAACUCAUUUUGGGUCUAUCGAAAAGUGGAUGAAAUGGGAAUAGUAUGCCAUGUCAAUUGCACUUUAUUUCAAAUGGUUAUAAGAGUGUGUUCCUGUUUAAGGUUUUUGGGCAAAGUGCAGUUGUGAUUUAUUGCAUCGCUAAACAUUUGAGUUAUUGGUUCAUAGAGAAUAUCUUGUCUUUAGAUCCCUCCAUAACUAGCUUGAAGGAAAUCCUUGCGGAUUAGUUAAGGAGAGGAUAGGAGAGAAAUAAAAUUUUUGUUUCUUUGUAGUAUGUUCCCAUGUCAAGCGUGAUUAAUUAUUAUGUGGGAUCUGGUACUAUUUGUGGUGAUAGCUCCAAGAUAUUCAUGAUUAAAGUUGUACUCAUUUCAUAAAAGUACCUUGUGUUGCACCCGUUUCUAUUCUUUUUCACCAAGGUUCUCACGUCUUUUGUUAACUAGCUUUCCCAAUAGUGUCUCAUGCUUUUUCCAUCCUUUCUUUCAUGUUAUUUGCCAACACGUUGAAAGAUGACAAAGAUGCCUUUAUUUCAUAAUUUUUGUCAAUUAAUCUUUUCUACUGUUACACCAUGGUUGUCUUAGCUUCAUGGGUAUCUAGAUUUUAAUUUUAUCUUUUAACACUCAUGGCAUCUUUCUUUUCUGGUUUAUCAAUUAAGUCUUUAUGAACGUGGUGGCCUUACUCAUAAUUGGUUAUUCGACGUUGCCGCCUUAAAUGAUUAAAAUUGGGGACUGAAUCAUUGUGCACAUAAUGAGUCCUUAUGAAAUAUUGUUAGUCCUUCUAAUUUGAUCAUUGGUAAAGUCAUGUUUGUUAAUUUGGGUUAAGUAUUGACAAAUAAUUUGAGUUGCUAAAUCUUGAUUUAUAUUAACUCGUACUCCAGUGAUUCUUUGGUUGAUUCAUGCUUUCUCUUCAAAUUCAUGAUUCAUUUCAUAUUUGCGUUGAUUAUAAACUUUAAAUGUAUAUUAAUGUGUUUUCAUCCUUUUCUUUGCAUGAUCCUGCCUUGGAAUCCCAAAUGGACUCCCCUUUCUUCACAUCUUAAACGGGCCAAUGAGGUCUAUCUUUCCGGUCAAUUCUUAGAGAAAGAUUGAAUAUCAACCCUAGACAAAAUUCUCAUUUAUUAUUUCAUUUUAUAUAUUUAUUGUCAUCUUUUAUUUAUUUACUUAUUUAUUUAUUUAUUUUUUUGUUUAUUUAUUUAUUCAUUCAUUUGGGCCUCGAAGCCAAAACUGUAAAUUUAAUACAGGUGGAUCGAGACUCGAUUUAAAGGCUCAUAAACUAGAGUAGGAUAGAUGAAACGGGUCAAAGGCCUAAUUAGAUUAGGACAGGCUUUGUUGGUUUCGGCCCAAUGGCCUAAAUUGUGUACUUUUUCCUCCCUUUCCCCAUUUAUGUGUUUACUUGCUUAUUCCAUUUGUGUAGACUUAGUUAAAAUCCCUAUUAGAUCGUCUAAAACUGUUUUUACACGAAUCUUUUUUCUAAUAAUCAAUUAUUUUUCAACAAAUUAAUCUUUUAGAAGUUAAUCAAAGAUAUUAUCAAAUAGUCCGAAUAACCGCAAGUUAGCGGACGUUUUAUGUGCCUAACACCAUUCUAAAACGUUAAUUGGAACUACUUACUCGAAAUCUUUAACUUAAAUGAUUUUUUGUUUUGGAUCAUUUAAAGUAUUUUAGAAAGGUUUCUUAAUUCUUUUUCAAAAUUAAGUGGCGACUCUUUCAAAAUGUCAAAAAUUUUGCAAAACACAUGUAUGAUUCCAGUUCCCAACAUAAGAAGUUAAGUUCUAUUCCCCUCAAUAAUACAAAUUAUGUCCUGUAAAUGCAGAAAACUCAAAACCCUGAUCAUGCAGCACAUGACUCAUGUACUCAUGUUACGCUUUAUAGUAUGCUCAACCUCCAUGACUCAUUAUAUGCUCCUACUUAUUAGUUAAAUCCAUGAUACGUCAUGUAGAUCCUCAGUUCAGACCUUUUUGGCAAAUUGAUGUCGUUGAUAUUAUAUUUCUUAAGCUUCAGUCAUGUGUCAUGUUCAGUUGGUGUCCAUUCAUGCUUUAGGUCCCCCCUGAUUUAACCCAUUAGUGAGCACUCUUUGUGAAAAUAGUGUGGUGGAGAGAAGUUGCUUAGAAGGGAGAGUGGAUGUUUCAUGUUAAGAGAAGAUUGUUGCAUGCUUAUUUUACACGAGGAUGUAGUGAUGAAGAUAGGCUUGAAUUUCAUGUUAUUUUGCAAGUAAAUGGCUAGCAAGAGGUUGUAUUUAGAAGUUGGAAAAGUACAGAGUGUUAGUGUGCAUUCAGAUCUUUGCCUUAUGUCAACCCCUGUCGUAUAACUAUCAAAACUCAAUUACCAUGUCUGUUGUAGUUUCAGUGUUUAGUACUCAGUAAUUAGUGUUUAGUCUCAGAAUUUAGUACUUUAGUAUCAGUCUAAACCACAGUAAUCCAUGUUUAUUCAUCAGAACCUGACACUUAGUUAAAGUAUAAGUCCCAGAUAUAGUCCUAGUUAUAGUGUCAGCUUCAGUUAAGUAAUCAGAUUAGUAACUCAGUUCAUUUUCAGGGUUUGAUUGACCAUAGUGUACAAUUAUCAAAUAUUCAUUUAUCAGUAUUUCAGUACCUCAGUUUGUAGACUAUUCCAGAAUUAUUUUAUACACUUGGUCUUGCGUUCUCAAAUAAUAUAGUUUUUCAUAAAAUUCAUACUUAGUUACCUCAUGUUACCCAAUCAUCCCUUACCUUUUGUGAAUAUACUCUAUAGUCUAGUCUCAGUCCAGCUAUUUAGACCAAGACCAAAUACAGUUCAGUCUUCAUGACCAGUAUUCAUCUAUUAGGUAUCUAAUUGAUUAGAUAAGUUAGUAUAUUUAUGAACUUGUGUUCAUCACCCUUGUAAAUCUUUUUAGUAGCCUCAGUUGCUAUGAAAGAGACUUAGUCAUUUCAUCUUAAAUAGUGUUUGUAGGCCUCAACUCAUCUUACCGAACUUUAGCCAUGUGAUGAUUUUCUUAUUCGGCUUUCUUGUUUAGACAAGCCAAGAUUUCCUUGUGCCCUAAAGCCACUAGAACUCUACAGAAAGAGUGGUAAAGAAAGGCUCCAGUCGACCAUAAGUUUUCAUCGCGAAUUAGUUCGUAAAAAAUAGAAAGUUAGUUUAUCAGUUAGAGGGAUAAGCUCGCAUGGUUUGGGUUUCUGUCCCUUCCAUCUAGAUGUACUAUCUUAAGCCUCAUGAAUGUAACCAUUCUAAGAUAAACCAACUAGAUAGGUUCAAACUCAGCCAAGUUCAUGUAUCAUGCCCCAGUUUCAGAUCCAAGAUAUUCAGUUAAGACUCAGCUUGUAGAUGCCUUGUGCAUCGCUUUAGUUUCCUCAGUGACCCAGCCAAGACAGUAUUCUUCGAGGGACAUAGUGUCCCAAGGGGGAGAGACACUAAACUAGAUUCUUUCAUCAUGUAAUAAAUCCAGUUUAGGAGUGGGGGGUAUUUAUAAGUUGACCCCAAGUUUCUAUCUCAUCCAUGAGCUAUGUAUUUAGGGGCUCCAUUAGUUCACGAUAUUCAGUUCACAGUAUUCAGUUCAUGCAUCACGUCCUAAGACUCAGACCAUGUCAUCCGUUAUAGACUCAACUAUGUUCUCAUGUUCCUAUUCAUAUGAUUUCAAUAAAGGAUCUUGAGUUUGAGAUUGGCGACUAUGUCUAUCUAAAGAUCUCUCCCAUAAAGGGAGUGAAGAGGUUCGGCAAGAAGGGAAAGGUCAGUCCCCGGUAUGUCGAUUCCUUCAAAAUUUUUAGUUGUUUUGACAAGGUAGCUUAUGAGCUCGAGUUGUCUUUAGAUCUAACCUCAGUUCAUCCAGUGUUCCAUGUCUCUUUUCUUAAGAAUAGCAUAGGUGACCCAGGAGUUGUAGUCCCUAUUUAGAGCUGUCUCUCUUAUAAAGAGAUUACAGUAAAAACGCUAGACUAUUAGUUUCGCAGACUAAGGAACAAAGAUUGUUCCUCUGGUCAAAGUUCUUUGGCGGAAUCAGUCCAUUGAGGGAGCUACUUGGGAAGAAAAAGCAGACAUGCUUACCAAGUAUCUUUACCUCUUCUUCGCAAACUCAGACUCAGCCCAAGGUAGUAGAUUUCCUUAAAGCUUAUUCAAUUUCAUGUUCAAGUUCCAUUUACAAACCAGUUUCAUGCUUAGAUUCCUAUUUUAAACUUGGUAUCCAUUUAUCAUUGCAUAUUCAAUCAUAUGUUUAUACAUUAGAUUAGUCAUGCAUUCAUGUAUCAGCUCAGUCAAGUAACCAUGCAUCAGACAUGCAUUCUCCUUGUGAGAAACUUAGUUAUCAGGAAUCUCAGUUAUGUAUUCAUAAGUUAGUUCGGUCAUGAAACCAUACAUCAAAUAUAUAUGGUCAGUAUGAAUCUCAGAAAUGUCAGUCAUGUAGUCAUAUUUCAAUUUUUCAUAUUCAGUAUGUACUUUAGCUUAUCAUUUCUCCCAUCCCAAUUAGUCUCAUUCGAGGACAAAUGUUCUUAAGGGGGAGAUAUUGUAAUAC
rnacentral:lncRNA from 1 species